rnacentral:rRNA from 1 species
ACACCAGCACCUCAAGUGGUCAGGAGGAUUAUUGGGCCUAAAGCAUCCGUAGCCUGUUCUAUAAGUUUCCGGUUAAAUCCACUAGCUCAACUAGUGGGCUGCCGAAAAUACUGUAGAACUAGGGAGUGGGAGAGGUAGACGGUAUUCGGUAGGAAGGGGUAAAAUCCUUUGAUCUAUUGAGGACCACCUGUGGCGAAGGCGGUCUACCAGAACACGUUCGACGGUGAGGGAUGAAAGCUGGGGGAGCAAACCGGAUUAGAAACCCCUGUAGUCC